GAAAAUCACUUCUGCUUUAGGCUUUUCUGGAGAGAGAGAGAGAGAGAGAGAUGGAGUCGGAGAAAGUGGAAAAAGUGGUACCGGAGGUGGAGGAGCUGCCUAAGGCUAUUGUGCGUAGGGUGGUCAAGGAUAAGCUCUCCCAUUGCUCCACGGACGGCGACCUUAACGUCCACAAAGAUGCUCUCCUUGCUUUCUCCGAGAGCGCAAGAAUCUUCAUUCAUUAUCUUUCGGCUACGGCUAAUGAUAUAUGUAAGGAAUCAAAGAGGCAAACUAUCAAUGCAAAUGAUGUGUUAAAGGCGCUUGAAGAAAUUGAAUUUCCUGAGUUUGUUGGCCCUCUCAAAGCCUCCCUUGAUGAGUUUAAGCAGAAAAAUGUUGGAAAAAAGGCAGGAGCAUCAGAGACAGGAAAGAAGGCGGCAGCAUCAGACAUGGGAAAGAAGGCAGGAGCAUCAGAGACGGGAAAAAAUACAGGAGAAUCGGAGACCAAAGAAGUAAAAAAGAAGAGGAAAGUAGAAGAGCCUUCAAAGAAAAUUGGAGGUAAGAGCAAACAGAAAAAAGAGGACUGAUAUAGAGAAGAACGAUGGCUGCAAUAAUCUGUGAGGAACAAUACUGUUGUUUACGAGGCUAGGGGGACAAAAAUGGAGCAGCAC
rnacentral:misc_RNA from 1 species